rnacentral:rRNA from 1 species
GGGGGGGGUCUUUAAAAUGCCAAGUCGAACGGACUCUUCGGAAAUUAGUGGCGGACGGGUGAGUAACGCGUGAGAAUUUGGCUUUAGGUCGGGGACAACAGUUGGAUGCGACUGCUAAUACCGGAUGUGCCGGAAGGUGAAAGAUUUAUCGCCUGAAGAUAACCUCGCGUCUGAUUACCUAGUUGGUGGGGUAGAAGCCUACCCAGGCGACAAUCAUUAGCUGGUCUGAGAGGAUGAUCACCCACACUGGGACUGAGACACGGCCCAGACUCCUACGGGAGGCAGCAGUGGGGAAUUUUCCACAAUGGGCGAAAGCCUGACGGAGCAAUACCGCGUGAGGGAGGAAGGCUCUUGGGUCGUAAACCUCUUUUCUCAAGGAAGAAAAAAGUGACGGUACUUGAGGAAUAAGCAUCGGCUAACUCCGUGCCACCACCCGCGGUAAUACGGAGGAUGCAAGCGUUAUCCGGAAUGAUUGGGCGUAAAGGGUCCGCAGGUGGAACUGAAAGUCUGCUGUUAAAGAGUCACGCUCACCGUGAUAAAAGCCAGUGGAAACUACAGGAACUGGAGUAUCGUUCGGGGCAGAAAGUAAUUCCUGGUGUUAGCGGUGAUAAUGCAGUAGAUAUCAGGAAAGAACACCGGUGGCGAAAAGCGUUCUGCUAGGCCGUAACUGACACUGAGGGACAAAAGCUAGGGGGAGCGAAUGUGGAUUAGAUACCCCAGUAGUCCUAACCGUAAACGAUGGGAUACUAGGCGUGGCUUGUAUCGACCCGAGCCGUGCCGGGAGCUAAUCGCGUUAAAUAUCCCGCCCUGUGGGAAGUACGCACACAAGUGUGAAAACAUCAAAAGGAAAUAGACAGGGUGACCUCGCCACAAAGCCGGGUGGAAGUUAUGGUGGUUUUUAAUUUCGAUAGGCUACACGCGAAAGAAAACCUUUACCACAGACAUUGAACAUGUCACUGGCGAAAUCUCUGACUGAUGAACAAGGUGGGAGUGCCUUAGGGAGCGCAGAGACAGGUGGUGCAUGGCUGUCGUCAGCUCGUGUCGUGAGAUGUUGGGUUAAGUCCCGCAACGAGCGCAACCCUCGUUUUUAGUUGCCAGCAUUAAGUGGGGCACUUUAGAGAGACUGCCGGUGACAAACCGGAGGAAGGUGAGGAUGACGUCAAGUCAGCAUGCCCCUUACGUCUUGGGCUACACACGUACUACAAUGUUACGGACAAAGGGCAGCUACACAGCGAUGUGAUGCAAAUCUCAGAAACCGUAGCUCAGUUCAGAUCGAAGGCUGCAACUCGCCUUCGUGAAGGAGGAAUCGCUAGUAAUUGCAGGUCAGCAUACUGCAGUGAAUUCGUUUCCCGGGCCUUGUACACACCGCCCGUCACACCAUGGAAGUUGGUCACUCCCGAAGUCAUUACCCCAACCGCAAGGAGCGGGAGUCCUAACGGUUUGGACCUGUA